UCCCUGUAGCACAAUGGGUAGCGCAUUGGACUUCUAAUCCAAAGGGCGUGCCCUCGAAUCCCAACCGGGAGAG